GAUGAACGCUGGCGGCGUGCCUAAUACAUGCAAGUCGAGCGAACAGACGAGGAGCUUGCUCCUCUGACGUUAGCGGCGGACGGGUGAGUAACACGUGGAUAACCUACCUAUAAGACUGGGAUAACUUCGGGAAACCGGAGCUAAUACCGGAUAAUAUAUUGAACCGCAUGGUUCAAUAGUUAAAGACGGUUUUGCUGUCACUGAUAGAUGGAUCCGCGCCGCAUUAGCUAGUUGGUAAGGUAACGGCUUACCAAGGCGACGAUGCGUAGCCGACCUGAGAGGGUGAUCGGCCACACUGGAACUGAGACACGGUCCAGACUCCUACGGGAGGCAGCAGUAGGGAAUCUUCCGCAAUGGGAGAAAGCCUGACGGAGCAACGCCGCGUGAGUGAUGAAGGUCUUCGGAUCGUAAAACUCUGUUAUUAGGGAAGAACAAAUGUGUAAGUAACUAUGAACGUCUUGACGGUACCUAAUCAGAAAGCCACGGCUAACUACGUG
rnacentral:rRNA from 1 species